GGCAUUACCUCAGUAACGGCGAGUGAAGCGGUAAUAGCUCAAAUUUGAAAUCUGGCCCUUUCAGGGUCCGAGUUGUAAUUUGCAGAGGGCGCUUUGGAGUCGGCAGCAGCCUAAGUUCCUUGGAACAGGUCAUCAUAGAGGGUGAGAAUCCCGUAUGUGGCUGCUUGCCUUCGCCGUGUAAAGCCCCUUCGAUGAGUCGAGUUGUUUGGGAAUGCAGCUCUAAAUGGGAGGUAAAUUUCUUCUAAAGCUAAAUAUUGGCCAGAGACCGAUAGCGCACAAGUAGAGUGAUCGAAAGAUGAAAAGCACUUUGGAAAGAGAGUCAAAAAGCACGUGAAAUUGUUGAAAGGGAAGCGCUUGCAGCCAGACGUGCCCGCAGUUGCUCAUCUGGGGUUCUCCCCAGUGCACUCUUCUGUGGGCAGGCCAGCAUCAGUUCGGGCGGUUGGAGAAAGACCUGUGUCACGUAGCUCUCUUCGGGGAGUGUUAUAGGGCAGGUGGAAUGCAACCAGCCUGAACUGAGGUCCGCGCAUCUGCUAGGAUGCUGGCGUAAUGGCUGUAAGCGGCCCGUCUUGAAACACGGACCAAGGAGUCUAACAUCUAUGCGAGUGUUUGGGUGUCAAGCCCGAACGCGUAAUGAAAGUGAACGGAGGUGGGAACCCCUCGGGGUGCACCAUCGACCGAUCCUGAUGUCUUCGGAUGGAUUUGAGUAAGAGCAUAGCUGUUGGGACCCGAAAGAUGGUGAACUAUGCCUGAAUAGGGUGAAGCCAGAGGAAACUCUGGUGGAGGCUCGCAGCGGUUCUGACGUGCAAAUCGAUCGUCAAAUUUGGGCAUAGGGGCGAAAGACUAAUCGAACUAUCUAGUAGCUGGUUCCUGCCGAAGUUUCCCUCAGGAUAGCAGUAACGUUUUCAGUUUUAUGAGGUAAAGCGAAUGAUUAGAGGCCUGGGGGUUGAAACAACCUUCACCUAUUCUCAAACUUUAAAUAUGUAAGAAGUCCUUGUUUCUUAAUUGAACGUGGACA
rnacentral:rRNA from 1 species